GCUGGUAUUAAUUCAAGAUGUGAAUUGUGAGCAGUUGUAUAUUACAGGUCAUUAAAUAAUGUUUUAAUGCUUUUUAUUUCCAUUUCUUUUGUGAAUAGGAAGAAGCAGUUUGUGUUAUUUUAGGAUGUCCUUUUUCUAAUCGUUUUGAAGAAACUUUAUCUCUAAAAACUUCUAAUGAAAGAGUAGAGAUUAAUGCAGAGGCAGUGUUUUGUUCUUAGCAAACCUGUGCUUUGGAAAACUCAAACUUUUCUGAUUUAUGAAAGGUUUGUAAUGUGAAAAAUAUAUGGAGAGUUUUAACUUAUUUUCCUUCAGUGCAUGAUGAAGCUUGAAUUCCUACUUUCUGACUUUGCGAGCCUGAGGAAUUUUUGGCAGUUUCUAGUGGAAAGUUAAACGUGCACUUCAACUAGAGAUGGAAUGGAAAAACUUUACAUAAACAUGUGAAUCUCUGGUAGAUUAAAAAAUCUAUGCUACUUUACAGGGAAAGGGAGCAGGUUUAGCAUGUAUUGAGGUGGCUUCAGGGAGAGGAGUAAACCAGCCCUUCUGUAUGCAAGUUCUCCAGAGCUCUUAGGGAGGGCAGUUUUGGUGAAGUCUGUGAUAUACAUAGAGAAAUGAGAUAAAACCAUAGCCAUGCCACCCAAAUUGACAAGGCUUUGGGUCCUGAAGAACAGUUGAAGCUAUGAGUUUUUGGCUAGUUGCAGCUUAGUUAGCACUUGGUGGUGUUUCCACAAGUGACUAGGGUAAUCCAGUUAGUGGGUGUUAAGGUACCUAAGAUGAACUCUUUCUUCAAAGGUUUUGGAUAGUGACAUAAAGAGGUGAAUGUGGCAGAGAGGUGUCGAUUCCCACUUAACACAGCAUCCCAAUCCAGUACCAAGAGGAGCAGCAUUUGUCUCCUGCUUUGUGGAACUGCCGUAAAACAUCCCAGCAGCCAAGAGCUGAGGAAAGUUUGGAAGGAAAUUAGGUGUUUGAAUGGGUGUAUUUCAUUGAAUGAAACUAGGCGUAGAAAAUGAGUAAUGUGAACUUAGGGUAUAAAGCCUUGUGCUUUAUGUGUGUGAGUAACCACUGCUUGGUGGGGAUGGAGUGAAAGCUGGUGUAGACAGAGGACUGUACCGCCUGCUGUGAGUUUCCAUAAGCCUUGUCCAUAUCUCCCAUCAAGAUAAUUAUGUACAAUGUUUCCUUCAGCCUUUGAAGGAGCAGGGCCAUGUUCUUCACUCCACUGCCUCUGUAAUGUGCCAGCGAUUUUAAUGAAAUAGCACUAAUGUGAAAACAGAGCGAUGGAAUGGAGAUUUAAGUUCGUGAGAAAUGAUCCAGGUGUGCAACACAAAGAUGCUUCUAUGGUUUAGUUGGCCUCUUAAUGAGCAGUGCAAUUUUCAUGGGUGUGUUUUCCUGCUUGGAGAUCGAUGGCCAUGGCUGCAGGCAGCAGGAUGGGGGUUUGGCUCACGAAAGUACAUGUUCAAGCUCUGUCCCCUGCCAACCCACUUCAAAGCUAACUGCUGGGACAUGGGAUGGGGAGGGAAUGCAUGACAGCCUAGAAACAAUAAGCUCUCUCUUUUGUUACCUGGCCUGCAGGUAUUUUUGGAGGCCCACUCCAGGGGAAGAAGCUGACUCACCUGCAGACAGGGAUAAAGACUUGUGGACAGGCUGUGAUGAAAUGAUGCCCAGAUGAAGGUCCAGAUUGGGCAGAACAGCAUCGUGCAGGCAUCAGUACUGGAGAGAGCAUCUGUGUAACUGUAGGAUUGUUAGCUCUGUGUCAAUAUUUGCUUUCUUGGCAGAGUUUUUGAGGGUUUUGAUGGUUGUAGCCACAGAGUUGUUAACUGCUCUAUGUCCAGAUGGAGGCUGGUCAUGUGUGGUGUCCCCUGGGGGUCCAUCUUGGGGCCAGUGCUCUUCAAUUAUCUUUAUUAAUGACAUAGUGGGAUGGAGCGUAUCCUCAGCAAGUUUGCUGAUUACACCAAGCUGAGUGAUGCAGUUGACACAACAGGAGAGAAAAUUGGGCACAGGGGAAUCUAAUGAGGUUUAACAUGGCCAAGUGCAAGGUGUUGCACUUGGGUUGAGGCAAUCCCAGGUAUGUGUACAGACUGAGAGAAGAAUGGCACAAUGUCUAAGUGGAAACUGAUGACGAGAGGCAUUCCUCAGAGAUUGGUGCUGGGACCAGUGCUAUUUAACAUCUUUGUAGGCAACAUGGACUGUGGGAUUGAGUGCACCCUCAGCAAGUCUGCAGAUGACACUAAGCUGAGUGGUGCAGUUGACACACUAGAGGGAAGGGAUGCCAUCCAGAGAGACCUGAAUAGGCUUGAGAGGUGAGCCUAUGCCAACCUCAUAAAGUUCAUCAAGGCCAAGUGCAAGGCUCUGCAUCUUGGUCAGGGCAACCCCAAGCACAAAUAAAGGCUGGGCAGAGAAUGGCUUGAGAGCAGCCCUGAGGAGAAGGAUUUGGGGAUGUCAGUUGAUGAAAGGCUCAACAUGAGCUGGCAAUGUGUGCUUGCAGCCCAGAAGGCCAACUAUGUCCUGGGUUGCAUCAAAAGAAGCUUUACCAGCAGGUUGAGGGAGGUGAUUCUGUUUCUCUGCUCUGCUCUUGUGGGACUCCAACUGGAGUGGAGGCCCCCAACACGAGAAGGGCAUGGAGCUGUUGGAGUGGAUCCAGAGGAGGGCUAUGAAGAUAAUCAGAGGGCUGGAGCACCUUCCCUAUGGGAACAGGCUGAGAGAGCUGGGGCUGCAUGGAGAAG
ensembl:lncRNA